GACAUGUGCUUACUCCUUGGCACAAAUGUGGUCCCUUGACCCAAGGUGAAGCUAUGUGAGAUACAACCACAAAUCAGACAUGGGCUGAUCCCUCAGAUAAUGGCACAGAACAAGGUGCUAUGGCAAGGAAGGUAGACUUUCUUGUUUCUUUUUUUUUUUUUAAGACUGGGUCUUGCUCUGUCAUCCAGGCUAGAGAGCCAUGGCUCCAAGCAGUCCUCCCACCUCAGCCUCCCAAGUGGGACUGCAGUUACUCACCACCACACCCAGUUUGUUUGUUUCUUUGUAGAGACAGGGUCUUACUGUUUCCCAGACUGUUCUAGAAUUCCUUGCCUCAAGCAAUCCUCCCAAAUUGGCCUCCCAAAAGUGUUGGGAUUACAGGCAUGAGCCACAACACUCAACCAGGGAAGGUAGACUUAUAACCAAAAUAUGUAUCAAUCCAGUAAGGACAAAUGACUGUCACCUCCAGGUUGGUGUCUUCAGAGGACAGCAUCCUAUCAAGGGCUCAGCAUCAGUUUUUACCACUGACAGUUUGGCCAUUCUGCAGUAGCAGUGCCUAGAUCAGCCCUGGUGAGAGGGAGCCUCCGCUGCCAGGCUCAUGCAUCACCUUCACUCCUUGCACAAGGCUACUCCACUCAUGGGCCCACUGUGCAAACACUGGGAUGGCCAAGAAGAAAAGCUUGCUAAACUCCACUGGACAAAUCAUCCUACCCGUCUUGUCUUCUACUCCUUCUCUGAUGUGGAUGAUCACCAUAAACAUAUUGCAAGUUUCAAAAUGAGUGAACAGAAAGAUGCAGAGCCAUGGAGAAAAUAUUCUUUCAUGAAGAAAGAAAAAUCCAGCACAUUACAAUGACGCCCUCUGCUGUGAUUUU
rnacentral:lncRNA from 10 species